rnacentral:lncRNA from 1 species
GCUGCCUGGGUCGGCUGGGCCUGUGGGCCUGCGUCCGACAGCGCGCGGCCGUGCUUUCUAAGCGGGCUCGGCAGCACCAGACUUCACCGGCCCGGCGCGGGGCUCACAAGUGCUCGCACUCCCUGCGGCCGGCGCGCUGACCGGAGCCUCUGGGUCUCGCACGCAGCAGCUGCAGACGCUGCCCGGCGCGGUGGGGCUGUGAGCAAAACGGCCCGCCGGUGUGGUUGCCCAGACUGUGCUGGGCCCUCCUAGGUGGAUGGCCCUGCCCCAGCCUAACUUCUGUACCCCAGCAUAACCUCCAAAGUAACAGCCGUGCCCUGGGAGCCUGUUCAACACUGAACAUAUCCCACAAUAACACUGUUCCAGCGUCGCUGGUAAAAAGCAGAAAUGGCUUCGCUGGAGGCAUCGACAAAUCUAAUGCAGUAACCUCAUUUUACAGAAGAGAACUCUAAGAGGAUAACUAACUUGGCCAAGAUCACAUGAUGUUUCUGGAUGAGAUUAGCAUUCAAAUUCGUGGACUCAUUAAAGUAGAUGGCUCUCUCCAAUAUGGGUGGGCAUCAUCCAAUCUGUUGAAGGCGUGAAGAGAACAAGAGAAGGAGGAAGGAAGAAUUCACCUUUUUUCUUGCUGCCCACCUGCUUGGGCUGGGACAUUGCAUCUCACCUUCUCCAGCCUUUGGAUGAGGAUUUACACCCUGGUUCUCAGGCCUUCAGGCUCUAACUGGAGCUACACUAUCAACUUUCCUGGGCCUCCAGAUUGCAGAUGGUGGAUCACGGUACUUUUUAGCCUCCAUCAUAAUAUGAGAAAAAAGAGGCACAGUGAAGCUAAAUAUAUUGGCUAAAGAUCACAAAGCUAGUAAGUAGAACAAGCUACUUACCUACUUGAACAAGAAACUUCCUCUUUUCAAACCUCUGUUCUGUUCUUUUUUUUUGUUUUUUUUGAAACUACGACAGUCAUUUAUUCUCUCUAACAGUUACUAUUGGUGAGGAAUUUUGGAGUAAUUUGAUUGGGUGUUCUGGCUCAAGGGUCUCUUAUGAGUUUGCAGUCAGAUGUCAGCUGUGGCUACAUCAUCUGGACACAUGACUGAGGGUGGAACAUUCAAUUUCAAGGUAUCUCACUCAUAUGGCUGGUAAGUUGGUUCUGGCUGUUGGCUAAGAGUCUCAAUUUCUGGCCACAUGGGCCACUCCAUGAGGCUGCUUGAGUGUCCUCUCAACAUGGUGUCUGGAUCUUUGGAUUACAAAAGACUAAUGUGGAAUCUGCAAUGCCAUUUAUAAUUUAUCCUUGAAAGUUCACACACUUCUGCUGUACAAACUUCUGUUCUUACCCGUGACUCUUUUGUCAAGCUGUGUCUUGAUAAAUUGUAACACUUUUGAGUCUUUGAAGAAAGUGAUCUGUUUUUAGUGUGGGUACUUUAUAUUGAUCUCAAACACUUGUAGCAUAAUACUGGGAAGAUAAUGAGUCACUGAGUUUUAAAUCAUUACUUGAGUAAUGUUAAUGAACAUCUUUUGGGGUAUGUAUUUGAAUGCCAACUAGUUAUUGACUAUCCAAAAAGUGGUUUUCCUUGGUCUCUAGACAGGGACUUUGCAUUUGUCAAGAGUUCUUAAGUAGAUAGAAAGAAAGCAAGAUAAAUCAAUAGAUAGAUUUAGAUACAGCCAUAUGAGAGGGGAUUUAGUAGGGGAAUUGGCUUACAUGAUUAUGGAGGCUGAGAAGCCCCACAACAGGCCAUCUGCAAGCUAGAGACCCCAGGAUACCUGUAGCAUGUCUCAGUCUAAGUCCGAAGCCCUCAGAACCAGGGAGGCUGCUGUUUAACUCUCAGUCUGAAGCUGAAGGCCUGAGAACCUGGGGGGCCACUGGUAUAAGCCCUGAAGUUUAAAAGCCAGAGAGCCUGGAGUUCUGAUAUCCAAGGACAGGAGAAGAAUGUAUCUCAGCUCUAGAAGAGAGGAAAUUUAUUUUUGUUCUAUCUGGAUCCCCAGCCAAUUGGGUGGUGCCAGCUCACAUUGAGGGCAGAUCUUCACUGGUCAGUCUACUGACUCACACACCAGUCUCCUCCAGAAUCACCCUCACAGACACACCAAGAAAUGAUCCAUUACCAGUUCUCUAGAUAUUCCUUAAUCCGGUCAGGUUGGCACCUAAAAUUAACCACCACAGGGCUUUACUUUAUAUGUCUAACAUUCCUCAAAGAGUUCCUGGCCAAGGGAUAUUGUUGUGUUCAAUGGUAGAAUGCUAAAAUGCCUUUUAUCAAGACAGUUCCAUACUGCUUUUAAAAUGCUCUGGGCUAUUUCCAUUCUAAACUACUGAAGCAUACACUUGUGGAAAAGCAGCAAGAAUCCUAACACAUAAUCUAGUUGAGAGCAGAACUCAGAAAAUGAGACACUUAACAGGUAAGCAUUUGUCUUUGGGGUGAAACUUCCCUUUGUUUUAGUGUGGACAACUUGAGUGAAUUAUUUUAGUAAUGUAUUUGUAGAGCAAACACCUAUCCAUUUUUCUGGGGGAAGCCCAAGAUGUAAAGUAAUAAUCUCAAAUGCAAAAGUUUUAGAGUAAGAUAUUAAGUGUUUGUUUAAUAAUAUAAAUGUAGUGUAUUAGCAAGUUAAUGAAAAAAAAUCCUAAAUCUGGAUUUAGACUAUCCUUUACAUGAAAAUUAUUGUGUUAGUGGAAUUACAUGUCUUUUUGUUCAAGCAGCAUCGUUUCAAGGUUGGGAACCAUGGCAGGAAGAUCAUGCAGGUCUGGACUUCCUUUCCCCUCAAGGCAAAUAGAAUUCUGUGAUAAGGAUAUAGAGCGGCUUGAAGCUAGAUGAACUGGACCAUUGGUGUCCUACACAGAAGCUAUUUAAGAAGGAACAGCCCUGAUUUGGAAAAAUGUUUAACGACUCACUCUAGUGAUUGUCCCGGGUGUGUCUUUGAGAUGAGGGCAGCCUCAACCUGAAGGAACUGGGUUCUCAUAUUCCUGCCAUCCUGAGGUGAAAAAGAAAAGGGUCUUGGACAAUGGAGUGAAGGCAAUCAAUCCUUGUUUCUUGGGAGCAAAGAGGGAAUUGAGAUUGUCCUCUGGUAUAUGGAAGUGUCUGAAGAUUUCUGUGGAUGGGGGUGCAGCUGACUCCCACUCCUAUUAGAAAAAAUACCUGUGGGAGUCGGGUAGAGAGAGUCAACUUGUGUUUGGUCUGUGGCUUUCAAAGUAACCACCUUUAGUCAUGCUAUAGGUUGCCUUCUAGGGGUAUUCUAUUCUUUCAAAUCUUUUAGUGAAGCCUUAUUUAAAGGGAUAGCCCCUUCCUAGAUGUGCCUUGGGGGCAUUAAUGAAAGGAUCUAUGUCCAUGCUUGGGGUCUACAUGAUGCUGGGGAGGCAGAAAGAGUCUAGGGCAGGGGUUAGGUCUGAGCGGAGAUGCUGUGCAUGGAGUAGCCCAAUAAUCCAGAAACAGCAUCUGUCUGGGGGAUCCCAAGAAUUUGCAGAACUUGCCAUCAUUCCUCAGGUUUUCACUGCUAUACUUGAGAAAGUAACCAAAUGAAAGAUGUGACUUUCUGCUUUUACAGGGAUGUAGGUCAGGCUAUUGUCAUUUGGGCAUUGAAGAGAAGGUUGCCUUUGGAAAGCAGGAGAACUUGGGGGGAAUAGCUGACUUGCACAUCCUUCAAUACUCCACUUAGCUAUCAUUCCUUCUAACGUCUCCUCAGCUUCAUGUCUGAGUUCAGUGUCUUUUCUAGUGUUCCUUUAGUCCCCGGAUGCUAUCAUUUACACAAGCAAAUAAUAAUUACAACAGACUCUUAUUGAGUACUUACAUUGUGCCAAACACUAAGUUAAGUGCUUUACAUGGAUUAUCUCAUUCAGUAAUUUGGUAAUCUCUAUUUUUCAGCAGAGGACACUGAAACCUAGAGAAAUUAUGUGAUUUGCUUCAAGUCCUACAGAGGGACACUCAUAGAGCCAGAUUUUAAACCAAGAUGGUCUAGUCCAGAGCCAGUACAUGCAGGAUUUAGAAUAUACUCAUUUUAUUUUUCCCCUUUUCCAGUUUUUUUUUUUAAGUACUAUGAGCUUUCUUAGAAUAGUCUCUUUCCUUUAUAUCUGCAUCCUUAUCUUUUAGUAUAGGGCUAGGCACCUUAGUAAGUGUUUGACAAAUGUUUGUGAAAAGGAUAAAUGAAAGACAGAGCCUAAGGCAUAAAAUUUUAAGACAAUACACUGAAGCUGUUACAGUUUAUGAUUGAAUAAAUAAAGUACUCAGCUCUCCUCUUGGUA